rnacentral:rRNA from 1 species
UACGGAGGGUGCGAGCGUUGUCCGGAAUCAUUGGGCGUAAAGGGCGCGUAGGUGGCGCGGUCAGUUCGUGGUGAAAGCGCGGGGCUCAACCCCGCGUCGGCCAUGAAUACUGCUGGGCUGGAGCACUGUAGAGGCAGGCGGAAUCCGGGUGUAGCGGUGGAAUGCGUAGAGAUCCGGAAGAACACCGGUGGCGAAGGCGGCCUGCUGGGCAGUUGCUGGACACUGAGGCGCGACAGCGUGGGGAGCAAACAGG